AUGGCGGAGAUGAGUUCUUCGCUGGCAGUCACGGGCGCCGCCAUGGAUGCUCCAGUGAGUUCUUCCCUUGGGGUCAUGGGCCCUCUUCUCAAGAAGAUAGAUUCGCUGCUGCCUCUGGAUUACCGGCUGCGAGGGCCACUCAAGGACAGAGUCGCGCUCCUCAAAGUAGAUCUGGAAGAAAUCAGCGUCGCCCUUGUGGAGCAGUCAAUGGUAGAUUUCCCCAAUGAAAUGGCAAAAUACUGGAUGAAUGAGGUGCGUGAACUUUGCUAUGACAUCGAGGAUUUCAUCGACGACAUGAUGUUGACGCACGCCGAUGCCAAGAUGAGGUCGGUGCAGAGCUUCAAGGUUGGCCGUGUCAAGAUCCCUUGGCUUCCCAAGACGGUGAGGCCGUGCACGAGGGCCGCCAGGAUCGCAGAACUCAGGGCCCUGGUGCGGGAGGCGAUUGAGCGACAUGGAAGGUAUCUUGAUGGUUGCACCUCGAGUUCUAGAUCUCUGUUCACUGUGUACGGCCAUAUUCCAUUGAUGUAUGCAGAGGCUGCAAACUACCUUGUUGGCGUCGAUGACACCAAGACAAAGCUUAUCAAGUGGAUUACCGACGAGGAGCAGCAUCCAGCAGAGACUACAAACUACCUUGUUGGUGUCAAUGACGUGAAGAUAAAGCUUAUCAAGUGGCUCACCGAUGAGAAUGAACAGCAGCUGAAAAUGGUGGUCAUAACUGGACAUGCAGGGGUUGGCAAGACCACACUUGCAAAACAGCUGUACCGUGAAGUUGGGCAGCAAUUCGAGUGUCGUGCUUUCGUGCGGGCAUCUCGGAAACCUGACAUGAGAAGACUGCUUGAGGGCAUCCUCUCUCAAGUUCAGCAGCAUCGAUGCCCCUCUAAUUCCUACACAGUGCAAAACCUUAUUGACAAUCUCAUCAAACAUCUCCAGAAUAAGAGGUAUGUUAUUGUAAUUGAUGAUUUGUGA
rnacentral:rRNA from 1 species